rnacentral:rRNA from 1 species
UACAGAGGUCCCAAGCGUUGUUCGGAUUCAUUGGGCGUAAAGGGUGCGUAGGCGGCGCGGCAAGUCGGGUGUGAAAUCUCGGGGCUUAACUCCGAAACUGCAUUCGAUACUGCCGUGCUUGAGGACUGGAGAGGAGACUGGAAUUUACGGUGUAGCGGUGAAAUGCGUAGAUAUCGUAAGGAAGACCAGUGGCGAAGGCGGGUCUCUGGACAGUUCCUGACGCUGAGGCACGAAGGCCAGGGGGAGCAAACGGG